CCCUUAGAGUUUGAUCCUGGCUCAGAUUGAACGCUGGCGGCAGGCCUAACACAUGCAAGUCGAGCGGCAGCGGGAAAGUAGCUUGCUACUUUUGCCGGCGAGCGGCGGACGGGUGAGUAAUGCCUGGGGAUCUGCCCAGUCGAGGGGGAUAACUACUGGAAACGGUAGCUAAUACCGCAUACGCCCUACGGGGGAAAGCAGGGGACCUUCGGGCCUUGCGCGAUUGGAUGAACCCAGGUGGGAUUAGCUAGUUGGUGAGGUAAUGGCUCACCAA
rnacentral:rRNA from 1 species